GACGGAGGGUGCAAGCGUUGUUCGGAUUGACUGGGCGUAAAGGGCGUGUAGGCGGUUGGUCAAGUCCGAUGUGAAAGCCCGGGGCUCAGCUUCGGAAGUGCAUCGGAAACUAGCCAGCUGGAGCGCGAUAGAGGAGGGCGGAAUUCCUGGUGUAGCGGUGAAAUGCGUAGAUAUCAGGAAGAACACCCGUGGCGAAGGCGGCUCUCUGGGACGGUACUGACGCUGAGACGCGAAAGCGUGGGGAGCGAACAGG
rnacentral:rRNA from 1 species